GAUGAACGCUGGCGGCGUGCCUAAUACAUGCAAGUAGAACGCUGAAGGAGGAGCUUGCUCUUCUGGUUGAGUUGCGAACGGGUGAGUAACGCGUAGGUAACCUGCCUGGUAGCGGGGGAUAACUAUUGGAAACGAUAGCUAAUACCGCAUGACAACAGCUGUUGCAUGAUAACGGUUUGAAAGGGGCAACUGCUCCACUACGAGAUGGACCUGCGUUGUAUUAGCUAGUUGGUGAGGUAUCGGCUCACCAAGGCGACGAUACAUAGCCGACAGGAGAGGGUGAGCGGCCAGACUGGGACUGAGACACGGUCCAGACGGCUACGGGAGGCAGCAGUAGGGAUUCUUCGGCAAUGGACGGAAGUCUGACCGAGCAACGCCGCGUGAGUGAAGAAGGUUUUCGGAUCGUAAAGCUCUGUUGUAAGAGAAGAACGAGUGUGAGAGUGGAAAGUUCACACUGUGACGGUAUCUUACCAGAAAGGGACGGCUAACUACGUG
rnacentral:rRNA from 1 species